rnacentral:rRNA from 1 species
UACGAAGGGGGCUAGCGUUGCUCGGAAUCACUGGGCGUAAAGCGCACGUAGGCGGAUUGCUAAGUCAGGGGUGAAAUCCUGGAGCUCAACUCCAGAACUGCCUUUGAUACUGGCAAUCUCGAGUCCGGGGAGAGGAGCGUGGAAUUCCCAGUGUAGAGGUGAAAUUCGUAGAUAUUGGGAAGAACACCGGUGGCGAAGGCGGCGCUCUGGACCGAGACUGACGCUGAGGCGCGAAAGCGUGGGGAGCAAACAGG